rnacentral:rRNA from 1 species
AUGCGCCACGUCUACGAGUUCUAUAUGCAGCUGACGGGCUCGAGUGAGCAGCCAUUAGCAAGACUUCGCGCGGAUUUAUGGGAUCCGGUGCUCACGGUCUCUGACCUUGAAAACGAGGAGCUGGGCCUGGCCUUCCUCCCCCAAGAAAUCGAUGCCGCCCUCCUCGGCAUAAAGUCUGACACGGCCCCGGGCCCCGAUGGCUGGCCCGUUGCCAUGUUUAAGCGGUUUUGGUCCACGCUCAAGGGGCCGAUAUUCUCUCCGUGCAACGGUUUCAUGCGCGGGGAGGUUGGCAUCUCCCGUCUGAACUUUGGAAUUCUCUCGUUAAUUCCAAAAGUGCAGGGCGCAGAUAACAUUAGGCAGUUUAGACCCAUUGCAUUUAUUAACGCCCCUUUCAAAUUUUGUUCCAAAGCGUGUUCGACUCGUUUAACCCCGGUAGCGCACCGCAUUAUUAGUAGGACCCAAUCAACAUUUAUCCGCGGUCGUAACAUUUUGGAGGGGGCCCUCUGA